rnacentral:lncRNA from 1 species
GUGAUUUUAGUAUCUUCUCAUAGGUGUGUUUGGUGGCUAGAAUGGGGACAGGGUGUAAAGGAUUGCAAAGGGACCCUGAAUAGAAUCCUACUGUUUGAUGGACAGCUAGCUUGGUGGCAGUUGAGAGUCAGCAAAGGAUUCUGGGUAGACAAUUGGGAGCUGAGGAGAAUUCUGUCCAGGACAGCACUUCCAGCUCUGGAAGGAAAACAGAAAGGAGCUUUUCCUGGGUGGCAGAGGGGAUCUGAAGCCACCAGAGGAAAAAGAGCCAGACUUCUCUAUUUGUGUACCUGCUUCCAUGGAGAGAUCCUUCCACAACCUUUCCUUCACUUGACCACAACUACCCAAGACUCAGAAGGAGUUUGGUUGGAUUCUCUCAACUGGGCCAAACUGCCCACUUCCUUUUGGGAAUGGAAGGAAAGGAGAGGGCCUGUGAUCUCACUGAUUGAACAUCUGAUGUAUAAACUCAAAGAGAUUCAGGUCAGAAGAGCUGAGAAAUUCUGGUAACCAUUAGUCAAACCAGAAGAGGACAAGUGAAGGCCAAAAUUGAAAGACUACUUCUGCAGUGAAUUUGAAUAUACCUCGAUUCUGGAGAAUAUAGAAAGCUGUCUGGAAGUUUAGGUUUAAGGGGCACACCCCUAUUCCAUGGUGUGAUGCCCUGAUUGCUCUCUCUGUUUUGUAGCAUUCUCUCUCGAUGUUGAGACCUACAGGGGCACUGGCAUUUCUAUCCUUCCUACUUUUCCAUAUACCUAAGCCUCAGGUCCCAUAUUCUCUCAUUGGCCUGUCAAAUAAGGCAUUAGCUAAUAACUGCACAUGUUAGCUAAUGAGGCUUACCACCUCUUAGGGGCAUUUCUAUCUUAAUAGGGGACUUGAAGACCAAAAAUGGAUUUAAGGAAGGAAUCUUGGGAAUGAAGAUAGAAUUGAUGGAAUAAUACUCAGAAAAAUUAAUAUUAGAAGGAGUGGGUCUUGCCUAAAACCACACAAAAGAAAACUAUUAAUUGGACUACCUAUCUCUCCAGCUAUUCAACAUAUCAGCCAUCCUACUAAAGAUGAUAAAAAAAAAACAGUUGUAAAAUACUGAUCAAAAUAAAUGAAACUGAAGCAAUGAAA